rnacentral:rRNA from 1 species
CUACGGGACGCUGCAGUGAGGAAUAUUGCACAAUGGGGGGAACCCUGAUGCAGCAACGCCGCGUGGAGGAUGACGCAUUUCGGUGUGUAAACUCCUUUUAUAUGUCAAGAAAAUGACGGUAGCAUAUGAAUAAGCACCGGCUAACUCCGUGCCAGCAGCCGCGGUAAUACGGAGGGUGCAGGCGUUACUCGGAAUCACUGGGCGUAAAGGACGCGUAGGCGGGUUGGAAAGUCAGGUGUGAAAUCCUACAGCUUAACUGUAGAACUACACUUGAAACUUCUAAUCUAGAGUAUGGGAGGGGGAGAUGGAAUUAGUGGUGUAGGGGUAAAAUCCGUAGAUAUCACUAGGAAUACCUAAAGCGAAGGCGAUCUCCUGGAACAUUACUGACGCUAAGGCGUGAAAGCGUGGGGAGCAAACAGGAUUAGAUACCCUCGUAGUC